rnacentral:rRNA from 1 species
UACAGAGGGUGCGAACGUUGCUCGGAAUUACUGGGCGUAAAGCGCGUGUAGGCGGAACGGAAAGUCAGAUGUGAAAUCCCCGAGCUCAACUCGGGAACUGCACCUGAAACUUCCGAUCUUGAGUACUGGAGAGGGUGGCGGAAUUCCUGGUGUAGAGGUGAAAUUCGUAGAUAUCAGGAGGAACACCGGUGGCGAAGGCGGCCACCUGGACGGUUACUGACGCUGAGACGCGAAAGCGUGGGGAGCAAACAGG